rnacentral:rRNA from 1 species
UGGGGAAUUUUGCACAAUGGGGGAAACCCUGAUGCAGCGACGCCGCGUGAUUUAGAAGGCCUUCGGGUUGUAAAAAUCUUUUCUAUGGGAAGAAAAUGACAGUACCAUAGGAAUAAGGACCGGCUAAUUACGUGCCAGCAGCCGCGGUAAUACGUAAGGUCCGAGCGUUGUCCGGAAUCAUUGGGCGUAAAGGGUACGUAGGCGGGUAAGCAAGUUAGAAGUGAAAUCCUAUAGCUCAACUAUAGUAAGCUUUUAAAACUGCUCAUCUUGAGGUAUGGAAGGGAAAGUGGAAUUCCUAGUGUAGCGGUGAAAUGCGCAGAUAUUAGGAGGAAUACCGGUGGCGAAGGCGACUUUCUGGCCAUAACCUGACGCUGAGGUACGAAAGCGUGGGUAGCAAACAGGA